GACGAACGCUGGCGGCGUGCUUAACACAUGCAAGUCGAACGGAAAGGCCCUGCUUGCAGGGUACUCGAGUGGCGAACGGGUGAGUAACACGUGGGUGAUCUGCCCUGCACUUCGGGAUAAGCCUGGGAAACUGGGUCUAAUACCGGAUAGGAGCCAUUUUUAGUGUGAUGGUUGGAAAGUUUUUUCGGUGUAGGAUGAGCUCGCGGCCUAUCAGCUUGUUGGUGGGGUAAUGGCCUACCAAGGCGGCGACGGGUAGCCGGCCUGAGGGGGUGGACGGCCACAUUGGGACUGAGGUACGGCCCAGACUCCUACGGGAGGCAGCAGUGGGGAAUAUUGCACAAUGGGCGCAAGCCUGAUGCAGCGACGCCGCGUGGGGGAUGACGGCCUUCGGGUGGUAAACUCCUUUCGCUAGGGACGAAGCUUUUUGUGACGGUACCUAGAUAAGAAGCACCGGCUAACUACGUG
rnacentral:rRNA from 1 species